rnacentral:lncRNA from 1 species
GAUUCUACAAAACACUUACUUUGAAAUUGUCUAUAUUUUGUAGUAUAAUGUUCAUGUCUGUCGUCAUAGUAAAGAUCUCUCAACCAUCACAUAAGGGUUAGAAUGUUUUAUCGAGUAUACUUUUCAUACCCAUUCUAAUACUUAUUGUCAAAUCAAAUUUAAGUUGACACAUUGACCAUAAUAAUAUCCAUUAAGCCCCAGUCCCACUAGACCACGAUCGCACCACGCUCACUGCGAUCUAAAAUAAAUUCAGAUCGUGGUAAGGUCGCAGUAUGAGCGGCAUGAAAAUGUAUAUUUUCGUUGCCUCCAUGAUGCUACGACCUCAUUACGCUUCUACAACGACCCCGCUAUGAUUGUACCACGUUCUCACCGCGCUUAUUCUGUGAACCCACUACGCUUAUCAAGAUCUUUCUACGCUCAUCACGUUCUCACUACGACCAUACCAGAAGUUUUCCGAUUUCAACACGAUCUUACCACGCUUCUACUGCAAUUAUAGCACGUUCUUUCCACGAGUAUACUGCGUUCAUACCGCAAUCUUACUACGUUCACAGCAAUGACGUCAACAUCGUGUUCCAUAUCAAUACGAUUCCAUUCCUUCUUUUUCUGAUUAAUACGUAGAUUUCUCAGAAACAACAUGUCAUGCCACCAAAAUAUACAAGAACACUUGGGAGUGGUGAUAAGGGGACAGAGGCAGAGGGAGCUUUGAUAGUAACGAAUCCUGAUCCAUGUCUGACCUACCAAUCCAACCUGAAUCACAACCUAUUGCUGGUCCAUCAAGCUCAAAUGACGAUGUGUUAGCGAACGAUAGCAGGGAUGACACAGAUGUGUCAAGCAUGGUCGAGCCAUUAGAGAAAACGGACAAGAGGUCCAAUUUACAUACAGUCAAACAAAACAUUGAGAGCUUUUAUACAUUUUAUGUGACAACUAGAAAGAGC